CCUCUGGUGUGCCAGUUGUCCUGCCAAGGGCAUGGCUGGUUGGCUACGUUCGGGAGGGAUAACCGCUGAAAGCAUCUAAGCGGGAAGCCUGCUUCAAGAUGAGUAUUCCCACCUCCUUGAGAGGGUAAGGCUCCCAGUAGACGACUGGGUUGAUAGGCCAGAUGUGGAAGCCCGGUAACGGGUGGAGCUGACUGGUACUAAUAGGCCGAGGGCUUGUCCUC
rfam:Streptomyces sp. RSD-27 Contig910, whole genome shotgun sequence.